rnacentral:rRNA from 1 species
GACGAACGCUGGCGGCGUGCUUAACACAUGCAAGUCGAACGGAAAGGCCCUGCUUUUGUGGGGUGCUCGAGUGGCGAACGGGUGAGUAACACGUGAGUAACCUGCCCUUGACUUUGGGAUAACUUCAGGAAACUGGGGCUAAUACCGGAUAGGAGCUCAUGCUGCAUGGUGGGGGUUGGAAAGUUUCGGCGGUUGGGGAUGGACUCGCGGCUUAUCAGCUUGUUGGUGGGGUAGUGGCUUACCAAGGCUUUGACGGGUAGCCGGCCUGAGAGGGUGACCGGCCACAUUGGGACUGAGAUACGGCCCAGACUCCUACGGGAGGCAGCAGUGGGGAAUAUUGCACAAUGGGCGGAAGCCUGAUGCAGCAACGCCGCGUGCGGGAUGACGGCCUUCGGGUUGUAAACCGCUUUCGCCUGUGACGAAGCGCGAGUGACGGUAAUGGGUAAAGAAGCACCGGCUAACUACGUG